rnacentral:rRNA from 1 species
CGGGGUAACGGCCCACCAAGGCGACGAUCAGUAGCCGACCUGAGAGGGUGACCGGCCACAUUGGGACUGAGACACGGCCCAAACUCCUACGGGAGGCAGCAGUGGGGAAUAUUGCACAAUGGGGGAAACCCUGAUGCAGCAACGCCGCGUGAGUGAAGAAGUAUUUCGGUAUGUAAAGCUCUAUCAGCAGGGAAGAUAAUGACGGUACCUGACUAAGAAGCUCCGGCUAAAUAC